UACGAGGGGGGCGAGCGUUGUUCGGAAUUAUUGGGCGUAAAGGGUGCGUAGGCGGUUUGGUAAGUCUGAUGUGAAAUCUAUGGGCUCAACUCAUAGUCUGCAUCGGAAACUGCCGGGCUUGAGUAUGGGAGAGGUGAGUGGAAUUCCUGGUGUAGCGGUGAAAUGCGUAGAUAUCAGGAGGAGCACCUGUGGCGAAAGCGGCUCACUGGACCAUAACUGACGCUGAUGCACGAAAGCUAGGGGAGCAAACAGG
rnacentral:rRNA from 1 species